UCCAGCAAGAUAGAGCUCCUCUGGCUCUGCUGGUGCCUGUUCUGCUGCCUUUGGGCUACCUGAUGUUGGCAUAAGGAACUUGCACCAAUUCCAGAGUCUGCAGUGACAACAAAGAUGCUGAAUUUGAGACUGAGACUGAACAGACUGAGCUUGUACUGGAACCACGUCAUUAAAGAACUGACAGCAAAGGGUAAAGGUCACAUUGAAGUUAAUGUCAGCAAAGGCUCAUCGAGGACAAUUUUCCAACAUUGAACAAAUUCUGACCUGCAAGUAGGGGAGACCUUGUUUCCAUGACACCGACUGAAGGGCCGUAUAAA